rnacentral:tRNA from 1 species
GGGCGGUUAGCUCAGUGGUAGAGCGACUGUUUUACACACAGUAGGGUCGGAAGUUCGAUCCUUCCACCGCCCA